ensembl:lncRNA
GUAAACUCAAAAACAAUUCUGAGGGUAGGGAUUUCCUAGACAUUUUUAAAUGCCAAGGAUUCCCAAACACACAGACACUCACAGCCUUACAUAAAGUUGGGAGCUCAGAGGUUCUUGUUGAUUUGGCACGGGGAAAUCGAGGGUCAUGGGGUCAGUGUAAGAAUCAGAAAGAUUAGGUAGAUAGAAUUAGUGAAAGAGAGGGAGGAACAUGUACAACUGCUGAGCACAGAGGUCCAAAAGGGACUUAGAACAGAUCCACUUGAAGAUUUUUAAUAAUUUUUCCUUUUACUGUGAGGAGAGGGAUUUAAAAAUUAAUUAGUGUUCUGAUCCAUUCUUGGAAUCACUAUAGAAUCACUAUAGGAGAGAAGGGGGUGGGGGAGAGAGAUUUCUAAUAUUCCUUGUGUUUUUCUAUACCUGUAUACACUCUUAACAUUUUCCCCCUUGAAAGUCCCUGCUUUUCCAGUAUAUCUGGUCUCUGGCUAUCUUUUUUUAGGCCGUAGGAGUCCCCUGCCACUACUGUCUCCUCACUAAAAGGUUAACUGUUGAGAUGGCAUUCCUAUCAGCUCACCUCACAAAGGUACAAGGAGCAGUGCCUGGCUGUGGGUGCCCAGAGAAGUCCCUGAGAUGAUGACACAGCCAGGCCUGGCCUCAGGUUCCUGCAGAGUCUCAGUUGCCCCAGUGGAGAAGACUGUGUGCAGCUGAGAGGGAACACAAGGUAAAGAUGUCUGUUUUUCUCCAAACAGGUUUCUGGUAAAGUGGGAAGAUAUUACACAUUUUUGAAUAAUAAAGCCUACUGAAAGUGAGUCUGAUGCUGAGUCAAGGAAGGGUAGAACAUAUGCUUUAAAGUUAACCUGUUUUGAAACAUAAACAGAUUUUUCGCUUCACACAUACUGCAACUGGACAAAAAGGCUAUUUUCGAUCACAAGCUCCUAGGACAGAGAAGCUGAGCCAGUUCCAGCACCCAGAAGGAAGCUCCCCCACUGCCAUACCAAGCUCCUAGGGCAGACAAGGCGAGCUGCGUGGGUAUCAGAAGCACCCCCACACCCCCGUGGAAAUGAGAAGACACAUAAACAAGCCUCAAAAACAGACUUCCAGAUCACCUACAGCAACCCCAAAGGGAAAUGAGAUGGAACACUCUGAUACUCAACCACCUGGACUCUCUGAACUGGCAACAAAAGAGGAUCUGGGAAAAAUGAAAUCAGAAAUAAUUACUCAGGUAACAGCAAAGAUUUUGCUCAUGGUGCAAGGGAUGAUUAAUAAAUCUAGAGAGGACACAGAUAAAAAAAUAGAGGAUCUGAGGAACAUGAUGGAAUCCCAACAUAGGAAACAAAUGGAAUCCAUAAAACAGAUACAAACAGAUUUCCAAGAGAUUGAAAACUCCAUCGAAAGUCUGUGCAGCAGAAUGAACCAAUGUGAGGAUAGAAUUUCACAUAUAGAAGAUAAGAUUGCAAUUAGUUAGGAGGAAAAGAAAAAUUGCUUUAAAAUUAUAAGGGAACAUGAGAAAUCAAUCCAGCAGCUGCUAGACGAUACAAAGAGGAAUAAUAUAAGACUGAUUGGAGUCAAUGAAGAAAGAGGAGAGAGUGCAGAUGACAUAAAAAAAACUGUUCACAGAAGUGAUGGCAGAAAACUUCCCAACCAGGAGAAAAGAACUUGACAUACAGAUAAGUGAGGCAUAUAGGACUCCAAAUAGCCUUGAUCAAAAAAAAAUCUACACAUAGGCAUAUAAUAGUUAGGAUUCCAGAAAUCCAACAGAAGAACAAAAUUCUACAAGCAGUGAGAGAAAAGAAACAAAUCACAUACAAAGGAAAGCCCAUCAGAAUCACAGCAGACUUCUCAAUGCAAACCCUCAAGGCAAGAAGAGCUUGGAGUGAUGUAUUUGAAGCCCUAAAGGAAAACAGCCUCCAACCCAGAUUGAUGUACCCUGCAAAACUAUCUUCCAAAAUUGAUGAAGAAAUAAGAUACUUUCAUGAUAAAGAGCACCUCAGGAACUUCAUGAAUACCAACCUGGCACCCCAAAAAAUUUUAGACAAUACCUUAGGAAAAGACAAUGAGGAUCACAACCCCAGGAAACCCAGCAGAAUGAAUCUAUUGGGC